rnacentral:other from 1 species
AAACCCCUGCUGUGUGCGUGAAUAGCUGUUAAGUUUUUGCCAACACAAAAAUUAAGGGAACCUAUCUCCGCCUAUGGCUUGUAAGCCCGCUUCUGUGGGACACAUUAAAUAUGCGGGAGGGCACCCACCUGCUAAGCAGGUUAAAACUACGGCAUCACGGCUCGGUGGGGUUUUU